CGGAUCUUUGAGAGCGGCGCACGGGUGCGGAACACGUGUGCAACCUGCCUUUAUCAGGGGGAUAGCCUUUCGAAAGGAAGAUUAAUACCCCAUAAUAUAAUGACUGGCAUCAGUUCUUAUUGAAAACUCCGGUGGAUAGAGAUGGGCACGCGCAGGAUUAGAUAGUUGGUAGGGUAACGGCCUACCAAGUCAACGAUCCUUAGGGGGCCUGAGAGGGUGAUCCCCCACACUGGUACUGAGACACGGACCAGACUCCUACGGGAGGCAGCAGUGAGGAAUAUUGGACAAUGGGUGAGAGCCUGAUCCAGCCAUCCCGCGUGAAGGACGACGGCCCUAUGGGUUGUAAACUUCUUUUGUAUAGGGAUAAACCUACUCUCGUGAGAGUAGCUGAAGGUACUAUACGAAUAAGCACCGGCUAACUCCGUGCCAGCAGCCGCGGUAAUACGGAGGGUGCAAGCGUUAUCCGGAUUUAUUGGGUUUAAAGGGUCCGUAGGCUGAUUUGUAAGUCAGUGGUGAAAUCUCACAGCUCAACUGUGAAACUGCCAUUGAUACUGCAAGUCUUGAGUGUUGUUGAAGUAGCUGGAAUAAGUAGUGUAGCGGUGAAAUGCAUAGAUAUUACUUAGAACACCAAUUGCGAAGGCAGGUUACUAAGCAACAACUGACGCUGAUGGACGAAAGCGUGGGGAGCGAACAGGAUUAGAUACCCUGGUAGUCCACGCCGUAAACGAUGCUAACUCGUUUUUGGGUUUUCGGAUUCAGAGACUAAGCGA
rnacentral:rRNA from 1 species